rnacentral:rRNA from 1 species
UACGGAGGUGGCAAGCGUUGUUCGGAAUUACUGGGCGUAAAGGGCGCGUAGGCGGCUAGGCAAGUCAGGUGUGAAAGCCCCGAGCUUAACUCGGGAAUUGCAUCUGAAACUGCUGUGCUUGAGUUCUGGAGGGGGUAGUGGAAUUCCCAGUGUAGCGGUGAAAUGCGUAGAUAUUGGGAGGAACACCUGCGGCGAAGGCGGCUACCUGGACAGAAACUGACGCUGAGGCGCGAAAGCUAGGGG